rnacentral:rRNA from 1 species
GAUGAACGCUGGCGGCGUGCCUAAUACAUGCAAGUCGAGCGAACAGACGAGGAGCUUGCUCCUCUGACGUUAGCGGCGGACGGGUGAGUAACACGUGGAUAACCUACCUAUAAGACUGGGAUAACUUCGGGAAAUCGGAGCUAAUACCGGAUAAUAUGUUGAAUCGCAUGGUUCAACAGUGAAAGACGGUCUUGCUGUCACUUAUAGAUGGAUCCGCGCCGCAUUAGCUAGUUGGUAAGGUAACGGCUUACCAAGGCAACGAUGCGUAGCCGACCUGAGAGGGUGAUCGGCCACACUGGAACUGAGACACGGUCCAGACUCCUACGGGAGGCAGCAGUAGGGAAUCUUCCGCAAUGGGCGAAAGCCUGACGGAGCAACGCCGCGUGAGUGAAGAAGGUCUUCGGAUCGUAAAACUCUGUUAUUAGGGAAGAACAAAUGUGUAAGUAACUAUGCACGUCUUGACGGUACCUAAUCAGAAAGCCACGGCUAACUACGUG